GCGGAGGAAAAGAAAAUAACUAUGAUUCCCUCAGUAAGGGCGACUGAAGCGGGAAAAGCUCAUUCUGUGAAUCUGUAUACUAUUUUGGUAUACCGAGUUGUAGACUACAAAAAAACAUCAGUGCGAGUUCUGGUCUAAGUCUCUUGGAAAAGAGCAGCUUAGAGGGUGACACUCCCGUUCUUGGCUGGAACUCAAACUUUAGUAUGUUUUAUUUUAAGAGUCAAGUUGCUUGGGAUUGCAGCUUAAAGUUGGUGGUAAAUUCCAUCUAAAGCUAAAUAUCGGUGGGAGACCGAUAGCGUACAAGUACCGUGAGGGAAAGAUGCAAAGAACUUUGAAAAAAGAGUUAAAGAGUACCUGAAAUUGCUGAAAUGGAAGCAAAGGAAACCAGUGCCGUUCUGUACCAUUCUUCUGUUCUUGCUUGCGAGAAUAGCGCUGUGGUUCAGUACAAGCCAGCGUGAGUUCGAUUCGGAGGAAGCAGCUUUUCAGGAGGCAGCACAAUUUCUGUGCGAUUACUGAUUGGUUUUGCUUCGGAUUGGACUGAGGCUAGUCACUUGUGCUCGUGACGCUGGCGAAAUGGUUUUCUUUACCCCGUCUUGAAACACGGACCAAGGAGUCUAACAUAUGUGCGAGUAUAUGAGUGACAAACUCACGUGCGAAAUGAAAGUAACAGUGGUUGGACCUUCUGGGGCACAAUCCGCCGGCCACAAUCCUUCGGGAGAUAGGUCUGAGUGUGAGCAUACAUGUUGGGACCCGAAAGAUGGUGAACUAUGCCUGAAUAGGGUGAAGCCGCGG
rnacentral:rRNA from 1 species